ACUGCUCAGUAACACGUAGUCAACAUGCCCAGGGGACGUGGAUAACCUCGGGAAACUGAGGAUAAACCGCGAUAGGUCAUCACUUCUGGAAUGGGUAAUGACUUAAACCUAUAUGGCCCCUGGAUUGGACUGCGGCCGAUCAGGCUGUUGGUGAGGUAAUGGCCCACCAAACCUGUAACCGGUACGGGCUCUGAGAGGAGGAGCCCGGAGAUGGGCACUGAGACAAGGGCCCAGGCCCUAUGGGGCGCAGCAGGCGCGAAACCUCUGCAAUAGGCGAAAGCUUGACAGGGUUACUCUGAGUGGUUUCCGUUAAGGAGAUCUUUUGGCACCUCUAAAAAUGGUGCAGAAUAAGGGGUGGGCAAGUCUGGUGUCAGCCGCCGCGGUAAUACCAGCACCCCGAGUGGUCGGGACGUUUAUUGGGCCUAAAGCAUCCGUAGCCGGUUCUACAAGUCUUCCGUUAAAUCCACCUGCUUAACAGAUGGGCUGCGGAAGAUACUAUAGAGCUAGGAGGCGGGAGAGGCAAGCGGUACUCGAUGGGUAGGGGUAAAAUCCGUUGAUCCAUUGAAGACCACCAGUGGCGAAGGCGGCUUGCCAGAACGCGCUCGACGGUGAGGGAUGAAAGCUGGGGGAGCAAACCGGAUUAGAUACCCGGGUAGUCCCAGCUGUAAACGAUGCAGACUCGGUGAUGAAUUGGCUUAUUGCUAAUUCAGUGCCGCAGGGAAGCCGUUAAGUUUGCCGCCUGGGGAGUACGGUCGCAAGACUGAAACUUAAAGGAAUUGGCGGGGGA
rnacentral:rRNA from 1 species